GAUUAACGCUGGCGGCAUGCCUAAUACAUGCAAGUCGAACGGAAGCAGCAAUGCUUUAGUGGCGAACGGGUGAGUAACACGUAGGGAACCUACCUAUACGACGAGGAUAACUACUGGAAACGGUAGCUAAAACUGGAUAGGAUCAAUUGAGGCAUCUUGAUUGAUUUAAAGAUCCUUCGGGAUUACGUAGAGAUGGCCCUGCGGCGCAUUAGCUAGUUGGUGAGGUAACGGCCACCAAGGCGACGAUGCGUAGCUGAGCUGAGAGGCUAAACAGCCACACUGGGACUGAGACACGGCCCAGACUCCUACGGGAGGCAGCAGUAGGGAAUUUUCGGCAAUGGGGGAAACCCUGACCGAGCAAUGCCGCGUGAACGAUGAAGGUCUUCGGAUUGUAAAGUUCUGUGAUUGGGGAAGAAUGGUAUUCUUAGGGAAUGAGGAGUACAUGACGGUACCCGAUUAGAAAGCCCCGGCUAACUAUGUGCCAGCAGCCGCGGUAAUUA
rnacentral:rRNA from 1 species